CUACACAUGCAAGUCGACGGCAGCGGGCAGUAGCAAUACUGUGCCGGCGAGUGGCGGACGGGUGAGGAAUACAUCGGAAUCUACCUUGUCGUGGGGGAUAACGUAGGGAAACUUACGCUAAUACCGCAUACGAACCAUGGUUGAAAGCGGCGGACCGCAAGGCGUCGCGCGAUUGGAUGAGCCGAUGUCCGAUUAGCUAGUUGGCGGGGUAAAGGCCCACCAAGGCGACGAUCGGUAGCUGGUCUGAGAGGAUGAUCAGCCACACUGGAACUGAGACACGGUCCAGACUCCUACGGGAGGCAGCAGUGGGGAAUAUUGGACAAUGGGGGCAACCCUGAUCCAGCCAUGCCGCGUGUGUGAAGAAGGCCUUCGGGUUGUAAAGCACUUUUGUUGGGGAAGAAAAGCACUGGGCUAAUACCUUGGUGUCAUGACGGUACCCAAAGAAUAAGCACCGGCUAACUUCGUGCCAGCAGCCGCGGUAAUACGAAGGGUGCAAGCGUUACUCGGAAUUACUGGGCGUAAAGCGUGCGUAGGCGGUUUGUUAAGUCUGUCGUGAAAGCCCCGGGCUCAACCUGGGAAUGGCGAUGGAAACUGGCGAGCUAGAGUACGGUAGAGGAGAGUGGAAUUCCCGGUGUAGCAGUGAAAUGCGUAGAGAUCGGGAGGAACAUCAGUUGCGAAGGCGGCUCUCUGGACCAGUACUGACGCUGAGGCACGAAAGCGGGGGGAGCAAACAGGAUUAGAUACCCUGGUAGUCCACGCCCUAAACGAUGCGAACUGGACGUUGGGAGCAAUUAGGCUUCUCAGUGUCGAGCUACGCGUAGUCGCGCUGGGGGAGUACGUCGCAGACUGAACUCAAGGAUGACGGG
rnacentral:rRNA from 1 species